CGCGUAGGCGGUUUGGUCAGUUAGGCGUGAAAUUCCUGGGCUUAACCUGGGGACUGCGCUUAAUACGGCUGAGCUUGAGUUCGGAAGAGGGUAGUGGAAUUCCCAGUGUAGAGGUGAAAUUCGUAGAUAUUGGGAAGAACACCGGUGGCGAAGGCGGCUACCUGGUCCGAUACUGACGCUGAGGCGCGAAAGCGUGGGGAGCAAACAGGAUUAGAUACCCUGGUAGUCCACGCUGUAAACGAUGUGUGCUGGAUGUUGGGCGACCUAGUCGCUCAGUGUCGUAGCUAACGCGAUAAGCACACCGCCUGGGGAGUACGGCCGCAAGGUUGAA
rnacentral:rRNA from 1 species